rnacentral:rRNA from 1 species
GGGUUGUGAGGUUAAGCGACUAAGCGUACACGGUGGAUGCCCUGGCAGUCAGAGGCGAUGAAGGACGUGCUAAUCUGCGAUAAGCGUCGGUGAGGUGAUAUGAACCGUUAUAACCGGCGAUUUCCGAAUGGGGAAACCCAGUGUGUUUCGACACACUAUCAUUAACUGAAUCCAUAGGUUAAUGAGGCGAACCGGGGGAACUGAAACAUCUAAGUACCCCGAGGAAAAGAAAUCAACCGAGAUUCCCCCAGUAGCGGCGAGCGAACGGGGAGGAGCCCAGAGCCUGAAUCAGUGUGUGUGUUAGUGGAAGCGUCUGGAAAGGCGCGCGAUACAGGGUGACAGCCCCGUACACAAAAAUGCACAUAUUGUGAGCUCGAUGAGUAGGGCGGGACACGUGGUAUCCUGUCUGAAUAUGGGGGGACCAUCCUCCAAGGCUAAAUACUCCUGACUGACCGAUAGUGAACCAGUACCGUGAGGGAAAGGCGAAAAGAACCCCGGCGAGGGGAGUGAAAAAGAACCUGAAACCGUGUACGUACAAGCAGUGGGAGCCUCUUAAUGGGGUGACUGCGUACCUUUUGUAUAAUGGGUCAGCGACUUAUAUUCUGUAGCAAGGUUAACCGAAUAGGGGAGCCGAAGGGAAACCGAGUCUUAACUGGGCGUUAAGUUGCAGGGUAUAGACCCGAAACCCGGUGAUCUAGCCAUGGGCAGGUUGAAGGUUGGGUAACACUAACUGGAGGACCGAACCGACUAAUGUUGAAAAAUUAGCGGAUGACUUGUGGCUGGGGGUGAAAGGCCAAUCAAACCGGGAGAUAGCUGGUUCUCCCCGAAAGCUAUUUAGGUAGCGCCUCGUGAAUUCAUCUCCGGGGGUAGAGCACUGUUUCGGCAAGGGGGUCAUCCCGACUUACCAACCCGAUGCAAACUGCGAAUACCGGAGAAUGUUAUCACGGGAGACACACGGCGGGUGCUAACGUCCGUCGUGAAGAGGGAAACAACCCAGACCGCCAGCUAAGGUCCCAAAGUCAUGGUUAAGUGGGAAACGAUGUGGGAAGGCCCAGACAGCCAGGAUGUUGGCUUAGAAGCAGCCAUCAUUUAAAGAAAGCGUAAUAGCUCACUGGUCGAGUCGGCCUGCGCGGAAGAUGUAACGGGGCUAAACCAUGCACCGAAGCUGCGGCAGCGACGCUNNNNNNNNNNNNNNNNNNNNNNNNNNNNNNNNNNNNNNNNNNNNNNNNNNNNNNNNNNNNNNNNNNNNNNNNNNNNNNNNNNNNNNNNNNNNNNNNAACAAAUGCCCUGCUUCCAGGAAAAGCCUCUAAGCAUCAGGUAACAUCAAAUCGUACCCCAAACCGACACAGGUGGUCAGGUAGAGAAUACCAAGGCGCUUGAGAGAACUCGGGUGAAGGAACUAGGCAAAAUGGUGCCGUAACUUCGGGAGAAGGCACGCUGAUAUGUAGGUGAAGCGACUUGCUCGUGGAGCUGAAAUCAGUCGAAGAUACCAGCUGGCUGCAACUGUUUAUUAAAAACACAGCACUGUGCAAACACGAAAGUGGACGUAUACGGUGUGACGCCUGCCCGGUGCCGGAAGGUUAAUUGAUGGGGUUAGCGGUAACGCGAAGCUCUUGAUCGAAGCCCCGGUAAACGGCGGCCGUAACUAUAACGGUCCUAAGGUAGCGAAAUUCCUUGUCGGGUAAGUUCCGACCUGCACGAAUGGCGUAAUGAUGGCCAGGCUGUCUCCACCCGAGACUCAGUGAAAUUGAACUCGCUGUGAAGAUGCAGUGUACCCGCGGCAAGACGGAAAGACCCCGUGAACCUUUACUAUAGCUUGACACUGAACAUUGAGCCUUGAUGUGUAGGAUAGGUGGGAGGCUUUGAAGUGUGGACGCCAGUCUGCAUGGAGCCGACCUUGAAAUACCACCCUUUAAUGUUUGAUGUUCUAACGUUGGCCCGUAAUCCGGGUUGCGGACAGUGUCUGGUGGGUAGUUUGACUGGGGCGGUCUCCUCCUAAAGAGUAACGGAGGAGCACGAAGGUUGGCUAAUCCUGGUCGGACAUCAGGAGGUUAGUGCAAUGGCAUAAGCCAGCUUGACUGCGAGCGUGACGGCGCGAGCAGGUGCGAAAGCAGGUCAUAGUGAUCCGGUGGUUCUGAAUGGAAGGGCCAUCGCUCAACGGAUAAAAGGUACUCCGGGGAUAACAGGCUGAUACCGCCCAAGAGUUCAUAUCGACGGCGGUGUUUGGCACCUCGAUGUCGGCUCAUCACAUCCUGGGGCUGAAGUAGGUCCCAAGGGUAUGGCUGUUCGCCAUUUAAAGUGGUACGCGAGCUGGGUUUAGAACGUCGUGAGACAGUUCGGUCCCUAUCUGCCGUGGGCGCUGGAGAACUGAGGGGGGCUGCUCCUAGUACGAGAGGACCGGAGUGGACGCAUCACUGGUGUUCGGGUUGUCAUGCCAAUGGCACUGCCCGGUAGCUAAAUGCGGAAGAGAUAAGUGCUGAAAGCAUCUAAGCACGAAACUUGCCCCGAGAUGAGUUCUCCCUGAGACUUAGAGUCUCCUGAAGGAACGUUGAAGACGACGACGUUGAUAGGCCGGGUGUGUAAGCGCAGCGAUGCGUUGAGCUAACCGGUACUAAUGAACCGUGAGGCUUAACCUUACAACGCCGAAG